AACGCUGGCGGCUGCCUAAUACAUGCAAGUAGAACGCUGAAGGAGGAGCUUGCUUCUCUGGAUGAGUUGCGAACGGGUGAGUAACGCGUAGGUAACCUGCCUGGUAGCGGGGGAUAACUAUUGGAAACGAUAGCUAAUACCGCAUAAGAGUAGAUGUUGCAUGACAUUUGCUUAAAAGGUGCAAUUGCAUUACUACCAGAUGGACCUGCGUUGUAUUAGCUAGUUGGUGGGGUAACGGCUCACCAAGGCGACGAUACAUAGCCGACCUGAGAGGGUGAUCGGCCACACUGGGACUGAGACACGGCCCAGACUCCUACGGGAGGCAGCAGUAGGGAAUCUUCGGCAAUGGACGGAAGUCUGACCGAGCAACGCCGCGUGAGUGAAGAAGGUUUUCGGAUCGUAAAGCUCUGUUGUAAGAGAAGAACGAGUGUGAGAGUGGAAAGUUCACACUGUGACGGUAUCUUACCAGAAAGGGACGGCUAACUACGUGCCAGCAGCCGCGGUAAUACGUAGGUCCCGAGCGUUGUCCGGAUUUAUUGGGCGUAAAGCGAGCGCAGGCGGUUAGAUAAGUCUGAAGUUAAAGGCUGUGGCUUAACCAUAGUACGCUUUGGAAACUGUUUAACUUGAGUGCAAGAGGGGAGAGUGGAAUUCCAUGUGUAGCGGUGAAAUGCGUAGAUAUAUGGAGGAACACCGGUGGCGAAAGCGGCUCUCUGGCUUGUAACUGACGCUGAGGCUCGAAAGCGUGGGGAGCAAACAGGAUUAGAUANCCUGGUAGUCCACGCCGUAAACGAUGAGUGCUAGGUGUUAGACCCUUU
rnacentral:rRNA from 1 species